AGCAUACUUCAGUGGUACAGUAUUUGCUUUGUAUGCAGAAGCUCCUAGGUUCAAUCUCUGGUAUCUCUA